CGAGUCCUAAAUAGGACGAAAUGCGCAUCCUGGAU
rnacentral:hammerhead_ribozyme from 1 species